rnacentral:rRNA from 1 species
GAUGAACGCUGGCGGCGUGCCUAAUACAUGCCAGUCGAGCGAACAGACGAGGAGCUUGCUCCUUUGACGUUAGCGGCGGACGGGUGAGUAACACGUGGAUAACCUACCUAUAAGACUGGGAUAACUUCGGGAAACCGGAGCUAAUACCGGAUAACAUGUUGAACCGCAUGGUUCAACAGUGAAAGACGGUCUUGCUGUCACUUAUAGAUGGAUCCGCGCCGCAUUAGCUAGUUGGUAAGGUAACGGCUUACCAAGGCAACGAUGCGUAGCCGACCUGAGAGGGUGAUCGGCCACACUGGAACUGAGACACGGUCCAGACUCCUACGGGAGGCAGCAGUAGGGAAUCUUCCGCAAUGGGCGAAAGCCUGACGGAGCAACGCCGCGUGAGUGAAGAAGGUCUUCGGAUCGUAAAACUCUGUUAUUAGGGAAGAACAAAUGUGCAAGUAACUAUGCACGUCUUGACGGUACCUAAUCAGAAAGCCACGGCUAACUACGUG